GUAAGGAAUAUUGGUCAAUGGGGGCAACCCUGAACCAGCCAUGCCGCGUGAAGGAUGAAGGCGUUAUGCGUUGUAAACUUCUUUUGUAUGGGAAGAAUGACAGGGAUUCAUCCUUGGAGAGACGGUACCAUACGAAUAAGCACCGGCAAACUCCGUGCCAGCAGCCGCGGUAAUACGGAGGGUGCAAGCGUUAUCCGGAAUCACUGGGUUUAAAGGGGACGUAGGCGGUUAAUUAAGUCAGUAGUGAAAGACUGUCGCUCAACGACGGAUGUGCUAUUGAUACUGGUUAACUUGAAUCAGGUUAGAGUUGGCGGAAUGGGUAAUGUAGCGGUGAAAUGCUUAGAUAUGACUUGGAACACCGAUAGCGAAGGCAGCUGACUGAGCCUUGACUGACGCUGAGGUACGAAAGUGUGGGUAGCGAACAGGAUUAGAUACCCCGGUAGUCC
rnacentral:rRNA from 1 species